GCGACUUCCCUGGCCCUCCCCCUGCGGACCAGUGAACCUCGCCCGAGGGCUCAAUAAAGAAGAUUUUUGCCCUCUUUUUCUCACCUCUCAGCCUUAUUGAUCCAUGGUGCCCUUCCAUUGCCUUUCAUUGGUGCCGAAACCCGGGAGGGGACACCUCCUAAGCCCCCCCAGAGGCUCAGGGGGACUCCCCUCCUGGUCGGAUCAGUCCUCUCCCUCAGUCAGGUCAGGCUUCUCCUCCACGGCCAUCUGUCCAUUUCGUCCGGUUACUUGCUGCCAGGUCGCAGUUGCUGCAGCUACUCCAGUCCAAUUCGGCCGACGCUAGGGGAAGUCCAAAUCGGCACUGACGACUCAGAGACGUCCAUGUCUGAAGUAGCCGAUCCGAGGCUCCAGGAGCCGCGUGGUCUGAGUGACCCCAGAGGGAUGCUUCUGCUGUCCCUCAGACCGCUGCCAUAAGGGGAAGAGGAUGGGGUCCACCCAGUCCAAAAUCACGCAAAACACCCCCUUAGGGUGCCUUCUGCGCAACCUCCCAACUUUACAACUCAAUCAAGAUUUAAAAUGAAAGCGACUAAUUUUCUUCUGCACAGUUGCCUGGCUGCAAUAUACCUUGGACAACCAAUCUCGCUGGCCCCCCAAAGGCACACUCGACUUCAAUAUCCUAAACGACCUUACCAAUUUUUGUCAGAGGCGAGGCAAAUAGUCAAAAAUCAAAUUUGUUCAAAGGUUCUGGGACCUCCGCUCUCGUCGGACCGCUGCCGCCAAGUGUUUUCGCUGGCACAAGUCCCUGUGGCUAGCCUUCCCCUUGAAGUCUGGCCAGCCUCUCUUGCCGUUAAUCCUGUCCGGGGCCCCCAUCUUAGUCUCUCUGCCGCCAUCUCCUUCUGCACUGCCGCCAUCUUACUACCUGCUUCCUCACUGCCGCCAUCUUACUUCCUUUUUUCUCUGCUGCCAUUUUAGUUCUUCUGCCACCAUUCGGCUGCCAUUUUAAUUCCCAUUAGUUCCCAUUUGUUCUUUUAACCCUGCCCAGCUAACUCCUUGGCUUCCAUCUUACCCGCAUUCUUAUUUCCACCUGCCUAUAGUGCCAUACCAGUCCACUGCAUCUACAACUCCUAACACAUUCGCUGCGGGCAGUGAUAUCCACUAAUCCUGGAUGAGGCAGCGGAGGGCCCCCAAACCCCUAUCCAGGACUUAGUAAAGCUGGCGUUCAAAGUUUUUAAUUCCUGAGAGGAGGCGGCUGAGGUACAACGACAGGCAAGCCUGAAACAAAAAGUUCAGCUCCAAACCCAAGCCCUGGCAGCUGCCCUGCAACCGGCAUUCCCUAAGAGCCGCGGCAGGAGAGGUAGAGGUACAAUCUCCCGGGCCCCGUCUGGCGUCUGCUUCAAGUGAGGCAACUCAGGACACUGGGCCAGCCGGUGCCCUAGCCAACAGCAACCGUCCUGCCCGCCUUGCAACUGUUUCAAGUGUGGCAAUCCAGGUCAUUGGGCAAAACAGUGCCCAAACCCCAAGCCGCCAACACACCCGUGCCCUAACUGCCAACAAAUGGAGCACUGGAGGUCAGACUGCCCCAGCCUCGGAGCGGCCGCUGUGGCUCCACAUGGCGACCCCUCCCUGGAUGGCGAAGGUGCCCUCUAGCUCCUCCAACUGGAUGACGACUGAAGAGGCCCAGGCUCGGGAACCCCUCUCACCCUUGCCGAGCCCAGGGUAAUGCUUCAGGUAGCGGAUCAACUGAGAUGCAAAACCCAUGUUCACAUCAUGAGUGAGUCUUCUAACUCGGACAAUGCAAUCAACAAAUUCUAAGACCAAAUUCCGGUGGCACUGGCUCCAAAGGCCUUCCUCCUUCUCUCCCCUCUAUUUCAGCUCCUGAGUGUGGAAGGAGGUGAACAGGGAAAAGCAGAGAGGACAAAAGUCACAUCCCCUCCCCACAGACCCAUACUGGGGAAGGGUGGAAGAUUUAGCUGCGAGUCAAGUUCAGAAUUUUGAUUAACAUCUUGGCAUGCACAUUCGAAUUUCAGAAUCAAGACUGUUGGCCAUAAAAAAUGACUAUAGCCUUGUGUAUUACCUGAACUGAGCAGUAAAAAAAAAGUCAUGGUCCUUCUGGGGCUUUUAUUCUGAGACAGGAACCCUGAACAGGCAGGAGAAAGGGAAUGUUGACAGAGAAACAAAGACAGUUGGCGACACACGCUGACCGCCAUGCGGACGUCCAUCAAACCCAGCACUGGCCCUGGGUACGUGCGCCUUUGCUAUUACCCCAAUACAUUUUCUUCUGCAGAGCAAGCAACAGAACACAUGCAGACCUUAAUAAAUACCACUGGGUAAUGUGACAAUGGCCAAACUCUCCUCACGGGGGAGAGAGUGUCCCCCAGUUUUGCUCCCUUUUAAUUUCCAGGGUUCAUAAGUAGCUCUAAAGCUUUGCUCUACAAGGUUGAUACAUACGAUAUUAAUGUUUCCCCUAAGCAGUAUAACAUAAAUAUAUUUGCUAUCU
ensembl:lncRNA LINC01287 long intergenic non-protein coding RNA 1287